GGGCAUGUGGUGUAGUUGGUUAUCACGCUCGCUUAGCAUGAGCAAUUGCGAGAGGGGUCCGGUUCGAUCCCGGACAUGUCCA